CUGACAGGUCACCGCGACCAGCAACGUCACAGAUAAGUCCGGCACUACCCGGGGCAGGGCCGGAAGCAGCGGCGCAGCGAUGGGGAGAGGGCAGGCUUGGAGCCGCCCUGCCUGGGUUUGGGUCCCAGCUGCGCCACUUACCGCAGGACGCGCUUGACCCAGUCCCUGAGCCUCUCUGAGCCUCAGUUUUAUAGUCUGUAAAAGAGGAAGAAGAGCAGCGCCUGCCCUUUUCAGCCACGGGAGGAUUAAACGGGCCCCUGGACGCACUUAGCGCAGAGCCUCGCCGGGCACGAGCUGCGCGCACGUCUGCUCCCCAAACCCCUGGAUGACGUGGCUGGCGCCCCUCUUCUUUGUGGGGUCAAGGAGGGCUAGCGCUGAGAGGGGCUGGAUGAGAAUUGGGAAUCCACCUCAGAGGGGGGCAGCAGCACUCGCAGCAGGAGGAGCGCGUGCACAGAGCCCCUGACUGGAACCCUUUUGGAUUUCUGGGAAUCUCCUUUGAGACCACAGCUGUUCUAGGAUGAGGCAACCUAUGAGAACUGUUGGCUGCUGACCUCGUCAUUGUUGGCUGCCAGGGCAGCACGUGCCUAGCUCAAAAACAAAAAGGAAAAUCCCUACCUGGCAGCGUGGUGGCCGUAUCGGCGAUUUGGGGCCAACAAGGUGAAAGUGCAAGUUCUUAAAUGCAGCUCAUGGGAAGGCUCACACAGCAGGGUGACAACAGACGGCACUGGUGUUUUCACCCUUCACCCCUUCCUCCUUCUUCCGACCUGGAAUAGGUAGGACAGGACCGCUGGGGCUGCAGCCGCCAUCUUGUGACCAUGAGGUCCCAUGAGGAUGGAAGCCAAGACAAGAUGGCAGAGCAGAAAGGCAGAGGGAGGCAGGGCACUGAUGACAUCACGGAGCCCUGCGCUAGCCCUGAACUGCUGCCUCCUGACCUCACUUCGUCGGGGGAAAAUAAUCCCCUCUUUAUUUAAGCCACUUGGGUCCAGGUUGUGUCCACCCACAGUAGGGCAGCCUCCCCCACCCAUGGCUCCCCAAGCCAGCUCAGAGCGCCUGGGUCUCACUGCAGAUGCAAAUGACAGGCGCCCCAGCUCCCUGCCUUCCAAUCCUGUUCUGCUCUUUGCCUUUUCAUGGUCUACAUUCCAGGAUUGUUGAGCCUGCUUUUUUUUCCCUCCUCUUGGUGCCAAAUAAUGAAAUUUCAGCAGUUAGCCUUGAAAACUCUAAGCCUUUCUUACUGCUGGUAAAAGAAAUCUCAGCAAGAUAAGAAAGAAAAAAUGUUCCCUCUUCCACUACAGCUGCAAAAACACAGAUGCUCUUCAGAACCAUAAAGCUGGUUCCAAUAAGUGGUGGAUUGAGAAUGUUCAACAAAAAAAAGGAUGUCUGUCCUCCUCUUCAGCGUGGACACUGAUGUGAAAAUGUCCAGUCCUGCUCUAAGUUCUGUCGGGCAAGUGUCCCCAGAAGGACUCUUUGUACAAAGGAGUCUUGUGAGAUGCCUGCCCUCCGGGCCUGGCUGCUGCGUCCUGUGCAGUGUGACCUUCAGCCCCUCAAGGCUGCAAGGCCCGCCUGGGGGUCUCGUGUGAUCAUUCCUCGCCCUGAGGAUAGUAUUUAAUUUGGUAUCUGGCAUGUCCUGGAAUUUCUGGGUCAAAUCUUAAGAGGAUCAUAGCCACUUGCAUUAAGGAAAGAAUUAAUCAAAGCUAAGAUGUUGUUAGAUUCCUUCUUUGAACCAAGAUUCUGGAGUCUUAUCUUAUUUUAACCCACACUGACCUCCCAGUCUUCGCUCCUGGGUCCCCUGUGCAGGAUGUCCUCCCGCUCUGCUCCCCUCUCAUCUCACCCACACUAGUUCACCCUUCAAGCUCUUCCAGCAUCUCCAUCUCGGAAGGCCCCUGCCCGUAGCAGAGCUGGGCCUCCUUCUCCAUGCCCACAGCCCCAGCAUCUCCCUGGCAUAGCCCCGCCUCACUCACAUCAGCCAGGGCUCCUCUGGUUACAAGGCACAGGAGCCUGAUGGAUGCAGACGGACUUGGGCAAAAAAACCGAGCUGUGUUGGCUCCUGUGCCUGGAAACCCCACCUGUGCCACGCUCAGGCACAGAUGGAUCUAGGCGCUGGGGCAACGAUUUGCUCCUGUGCUGUGCUUGCUGUAUAGCCUCUGCUGUGCCCUGGGAUGGCUGCAUCCUCAGAGAGGCUCUAGCAAGAGGGUGACAGCAGCUCUAAGAACACAUUCCACCAGCUCAGCCGAUCCUGCAGAAAGAGAUGUCCUGUUCUCAAGGUCCAGAAACUGCUCAGUGAUUCUGAUUGGCUUGGCCCAAGGGUCACGUGCAUCUCUGAGCCAAUCUCCACAGCCUCUCACGGGCGAGGCCUGAGCACGUGCCCGCCUGUGAGCUGAGGGAGGCCCAGUUCUUGAAAGGGCAAGGGUGCAGGUCCCAUCGACAGACUGAGCUGGCACAAAAGACCACCACAACACGAGGCUGCACUGUUUCCUCGUCCGCCUUCUGUGUCCAGACGGCCCCACGCAGAGCUGGCCUAUGGCUGGCGCUCAGGGAAGCUCUGCAGCAUGCCACGAGGAGGAGGCACAAGAUGCAGCCUGGAGGUGUCGCUGCCAUGCCACAGCUUUAGAAUUCCCCGGAUGUUUCAGACUCCGAAGGAGGGGCCAGGCAGGAGUCCCAAAUCGCUGGUGCGGUUGGCGGGGCGCCUGUUGGCACUCGGGGAAAUGCCCAGUCUGGGAUUGUUGCCUCUUGUGCAUUUCUUUUUUUUUUUUUUUUUUGAGAAGCUGAAAAUCUGGAAGUGUAUGUAGAAUCUAAUAUUUAAAUUUUGACAACUAACUUUCAAAAUUUUUUUAAGUACUGUGCACGCCCACGAUCCACCUCUGUUUGUGAAAGCAGUGAAACACCAGAGGGCUCCCUGACUACGGCUUUGAGGACCACACGCGAGUGUGGGCACCCACGCCGCUCUGGGAGUACCCUGCGGCAGGCCCACGUCUCGCCCCAGUGUGAGGGUGUGUGCCCAGCCAGCCCCGGGCCCAGCUCCUGCCCAGCAGCCAGGCCCACGGGGAGGGCUGUCUCCUCUCAGUGGCUCUCAAAGUUUCUGCCUUGAAUCAGACCCCUUCACCAGAACGCCAUUCAGCCCCUGGCAAGCGGAACUGAUUUUGCGUCCCGGGGCCUCCCGGAGCCUCCCGGAGCACCUGAUGAGAUCUGGACCAGAGCUGGCUUUAAAGUCUUCACAGCGGGUGGCGGGGUCUUGAUUUGCCAGAUGCAGUCAGCUGAGUCACUGUCUCCAAACGAUAUGAGAAAUAAACACCAGCCACGCUCGAGUGGCCAGCAGGCGCCUCCUGAUCCACGGAGCCAGCUACGAGGCUGCUCCCUGCAAGAGGCUCCUGCACCCCCGAGAAAGGUCCUGCUUAGAAAUGAAGGGUGGACAGCCCCCUAGAAGGAGAAGCUGCUCGGUGCCAGGCCCUGCACAGGAUGCGAGGUGGAGGGCUCCAUAGAGGACAAGGAGGCAUGAUCAGUGCCACAUGACAAGUGGGGAAACCACGGCACAGAGAGCCAGAGGCCCUGCCCGUGUCACGCAUGUGAAAAAGGCAGAGCUGCGACUGGGAAGCCAGCUGUCUGCUCCAUGCUCCCACAGUGUGCAUUCCGGCCCCAGCUGUGCCGGCAGUGCCCCUGGGCUCUGUGGCCCCUCCCGGGCAAUCCUUUGGGAGUUCUCUCUGUACCGCCAGAGCAGCUAUGGAGGGGCUGCAGCCUCCCCACCUUGGUCCAGUGGCCCCCGAGACAAGGCGUGGAGCUCUUCCUAUGCGGGAGAUGUUUCCACAAGUCUUGGCACUGGAGUCAGUGGUUGGAGGCCUGGGGUCAAAGCCCGCCCUCUCUCCUGUUUGGCCAUGCGACCUCUCUGUCCCUCAACUUCCUCAUCUGUAAAGUGGGGGCCUUAAUGUGUGAGACUGUGCAACCCACAUGGAGUGUUUAGAAGGCUGCCUGAAUGUAGACAGUAUUAGGAACCGCCAUGGUCACAGCCCCCUGGGUGACAGACAACUGUCAUGAUCCCCCAGGAGAGCCAGCCCACGUCACGGGCUUCCUGUCUCAGAAUUGGGUUUCGGGAGGGGUGAGGGGUCUGAGACUAAGCCCCAGUGAAGAGAGUGGUGUGAGUGGCUGGAGCCUUUGCCACCCCAGACAUCAGCCCCUCUGGGAUCACACAGGCCUCCUCCCCAGAGCGGAGGUGAGGUUGCUGGAACCUGAAGGGAGAGGCACUGGGUUGGGAGCCUGGCCCCGGUGUCUGUAAGGAAGGGAAGCUAUGAAGAGGAGGGGGCAACUUCUGUGUGAAGCUGACAGAAAGAUCCACAAAGUCCACAAACGAGGUCCAUGGACACAGAAGAUGAGGGGAUGACCCUGUGGGCCCCAGAGCUGUCAGUUGCCCCCAGUCCAGAUCUUGCCUUCCCUGGUUGUUGGAAACCAAAUUAACUGAGCAUCUCCUAUGUACUAAGAGGUCUGUCUCACUUAACCCUGUAUCGGUCAGGAUGUGCUAGGAUGUGCUGCAGUAUAAACAACCCCAAAGCUUAGAGGCUGCAAGGACAAGGUUUCUUUCUUGUUCUGGCUACGUGUUCAGUGCAGCUUAGCAGAGGAACUCUUCUCGUGGGGGCCCCUCGGGACAAGGCUGACAGAGGCUCUGUCUUGACACGUGCCUCCGCCAUUAUAGUGGCAGCACAGAGCAGUGUCCUGGCAGCUAAACGCUUUGACCUGCAAGUGACACGUGCCACUUCUACGCACAUGUCAUUAGCCAAAGGAGGUCACAGGGCUUUACCUCUCUUCCUAAGGGGCAGGGAAGGCAAUCAGCCCGUCUGCGUGUGCAGGAGGAGAAGCAGAAUGCGUGGGCGACCCCCAAGAGAGCCCCAUUACACAAGAGCUUGACUCCCAGUCCACAAACCCAUGAGAGAGCUUCUAGAACGCUGCUCAGUUUCCCACUUGGCCUGUUCUGCUAAGUGGGUGGGAGAUCUAACCUCCUCCUUGGGGUUGUCUGCCUGGUCUGUGGAUCUAGUCGAGGACCUGCUUGCACAGUGUCAGGAUCAGGGGAGUGAUUUGUUAUGGGCUGAAUUGCGUCCCCCCAAAUUCUUCUGUUGAAGCACUAACCCAGUACCGCAGAAUGUGACUGUAUUUGGAGAUGGCGCCUUUAAGAAAAGUGAUUUAGUUAAAGUGAGGCCAUUAGGGUGGCCCUAAUCCAAUCUCACUGGUGUCCCUACAAGGAGAGGAGAUUUGGACACAGAGAGACCCCAGGGAUGUGCACGCACAGAAGAAAGACCACGUGAGGACACAGGAAGGCGACGGCCGUCUGCAAGCCGAGGAGAGAGGCCUCGGAAGAAACCAGCCCUGCUGACAGCUUGAUCUUAGACUUUUAGCCUCCAAAACUGUGAGAAAAUAAAUGUCUGUCGUGUAAGCCC
rnacentral:lncRNA from 1 species